UCCCUACUGGCUCAGAGGAUAAAGAAUCUGCUUGCAACGCAGGAGACCUGGGUUCGAUUCCUGGGGCAGGAA
rnacentral:tRNA from 1 species